CACGGGGGGGAGCAAGCGUUGUUCGGAAUCACUGGGCGUAAAGGGCGUGUAGGCGGUCAAGUAAGUGGAAUGUGAAAGCCCCCCGGCUUACCCGGGGAUCUGCAUCCCAAACUGCUUGGCUUGAGUACGGGAGAGGAUAGGGGAAUUCCUGGGUGUAGCGGUGAAAUGGCGUAGAUAUCAGGAGGAACACCAAUGGCGAAGGCAGCUCACUGGGACGGUAUUGACGCUGAGACGCGAAAGCGUGGGGAGCAAACAGG
rnacentral:rRNA from 1 species